rnacentral:rRNA from 1 species
GAUCCUGGCUCAGGACGAACGCUGGCGGCGCGCCUAACACAUGCAAGUCGAACGGUGAAGAGGAGCUUGCUCCUCGGAACAGUGGCGGACGGGUGAGUAACACGUGAGCAACCUGGCUCUAAGAGGGGGACAACAGUUGGAAACGACUGCUAAUACCGCAUAACGUAUCGGGAUGGCAUCUUCCUGAUACCAAAGAUUUUAUCGCUUAGAGAUGGGCUCGCGUCUGAUUAGAUAG